rnacentral:rRNA from 1 species
AACGUAGGAGACAAACGUUAUCCGGAGUUACUGGGCGUAAAGGGCGUGUAGGCGGUCUGUUAAGUCUGGCGUGAAAGCUCUCGGCUAAACCGGGAGAGGUCGUUGGAUACUGGCAGACUAGAGGACGGUAGAGGCGUGUGGAAUUCCGGGUGUAGUGGUGAAAUGCGUAGAGAUCCGGAGGAACACCAGUGGCGGAAGGCGACACGCUGGGCCGUACCUGACGGCUAAAGCGCGACAGCAUGGGGAGCAAACGGGG